rnacentral:rRNA from 1 species
UACGUAGGGUGCGAGCGUUGUCCGGAAUUACUGGGCGUAAAGAGCUCGUAGGUGGUUUGUCGCGUUGUUCGUGAAAACUCACAGCUCAACUGUGGGCGUGCGGGCGAUACGGGCAGACUGGAGUACUGCAGGGGGAGACUGGAAUUCCUGGUGUAGCGGUGGAAUGCGCAGAUAUCAGGAGGAACACCGGUGGCGAAGGCGGGUCUCUGGGCAGUAACUGACGCUGAGGAGCGAAAGCGUGGGGAGCGAAUAGG